rnacentral:tRNA from 1 species
GAUGUUGUAGCUCAAUGAAUAGGGCAAUUCCCCGGCAAGGAAGAGGUUGUGGCUUCAAAUCCCACCCAUAUCA